rnacentral:rRNA from 1 species
UACGUAGGGGGCAAACGUUGUUCGGAAUUACUGGGCGUAAAGGGCGCGUAGGCGGCCUUCUAAGUCAGACGUGAAAUCCCUCGGCUUAACCGAGGAACUGCGUCUGAUACUGGAGGGCUUGAAUCCGGGAGAGGGAUGCGGAAUUCCAGGUGUAGCGGUGAAAUGCGUAGAUAUCUGGAGGAACACCGGUGGCGAAGGCGGCAUCCUGGACCGGUAUUGACGCUGAGGCGCGAAAGCCAGGGGAGCAAACGGG